rnacentral:rRNA from 1 species
GCCCAAGAGACUGGGAUAACACCUGGAAACAGAUGCUAAUACCGGAUAACAACACUAGACGCAUGUCUAGAGUUUAAAAGAUGGUUCUGCUAUCACUCUUGGAUGGACCUGCGGUGCAUUAGCUAGUUGGUAAGGCAACGGCUUACCAAGGCAAUGAUGCAUAGCCGAGUUGAGAGACUGAUCGGCCACAUUGGGACUGAGACACGGCCCAAACUCCUACGGGAGGCAGCAGCA